GGGAAUCUUAGACAAUGGGGGAAACCCUGAUCUAGCCAUGCCGCGUGAUCGAUGAAGGCCUUAGGGUUGUAAAGAUCUUUCAGUGGGGAAGAUAAUGACGGUACCAACAGAAGAAGCCCCGGCUAACUCCGUGCCAGCAGCCGCGGUAAUACGGAGGGGGCUAGCGUUGUUCGGAAUUACUGGGCGUAAAGCGCACGUAGGCGGACCGGAAAGUCAGAGGUGAAAUCCCAGGGCUCAACCUUGGAACUGCCUUUGAAACUCCUGGUCUUGAGGUCGAGAGAGGUGAGUGGAAUUCCGAGUGUAGAGGUGAAAUUCGUAGAUAUCGGGAAGAACACCAGUGGCGAAGGCGACACACUGGCCCGUUACUGACGCUGAGGCGCGAAAGCGUGGGGAGCAAA
rnacentral:rRNA from 1 species